rnacentral:misc_RNA from 1 species
UAAUAUGAAGGCUGUAUACUGUUGAAGAAUUAUUUCUUUUGUUGCAUAUUUUUUAUUUGAAAAUUGAAUUUUGUAUGAAGUUUUAGACUCUGAUUUGAGUCCAAAGAAGAUCAAUGAUUGGGGGGGAGGGUUCUGUCAAUUUUGUGCAAAGAGAGGUGCAACAUCAAUUGAUUUGGGAAAUUAUAAAAUACUCCAGGUGUACUAAAAAUAUAGAUAGUGGGUCCCAUAUAUAUGUGAGAGGGUGUAUGUGCUUUGGGAGCACUGAAUAAUUUCUCAUUGAUUUGUGGUCUUCUUUGUGGUUGUUUCUUGGGUUGCUUCUGGACUUUGGAUUCUUUGUGCACAAGUAGCUGAAAAUUUCUUUAAAGUGGGCUGAUUUGUUCAUCUUUGCCCAAGGAAUCUCUAAAGUUGUUCUUAUUUUCCUUUGGUCAAGGCAUCAGAGGGUGUAAUUUUACCCAGAGAAACCAUAAUUGUUAUCACAAAUAAAUCCUAUACCUGUGUAUAAGCAGGAGGCAUAUCUAGAGUUAAUUUCACUCAUCGUCACUCAACUUAGGUGAUCGCUUCAUUACCACCUCUCAAUUUCAUUCUUAAAAAUCCCUAAUUUCAAUUUGAAUAACACUAAAAUCCUUGUGGUAUGAUAUCAUAGGUUUCAGGCUGUG